rnacentral:rRNA from 1 species
GGGUAGUUUGACUGGGGCGGUCUCCUCCUAAAGAGUAACGGAGGAGCACGAAGGUCAGCUAAUCCUGGUCGGACAUCAGGAGGUUAGUGCAAUGGCAUAAGCUGGCUUGACUGCGAGCGUGACGGCGCGAGCAGGUGCGAAAGCAGGUCAUAGUGAUCCGGUGGUUCUGAAUGGAAGGGCCAUCGCUCAACGGAUAAAAGGUACUCCGGGGAUAACAGGCUGAUACCGCCCAAGAGUUCAUAUCGACGGCGGUGUUUGGCACCUCGAUGUCGGCUCAUCACAUCCUGGGGCUGAAGUAGGUCCCAAGGGUAUGGCUGUUCGCCAUUUAAAGUGGUACGCGAGCUGGGUUUAGAACGUCGUGAGACAGUUCGGUCCCUAUCUGCCGUGGGCGCUGGAGAAUUGAGGGGGGCUGCUCCUAGUACGAGAGGACCGGAGUGGACGCAUCACUGGUGUUCGGGUUGUCAUGCCAAUGGCAUUGCCCGGUAGCUAAAUGCGGAAGAGAUAAGUGCUGAAAGC